rnacentral:rRNA from 1 species
AUUGAACGCUGGCGGCAGGCCUAACACAUGCAAGUCGAGCGGAUGAAGGGAGCUUGCUCCUGGAUUCAGCGGCGGACGGGUGAGUAAUGCCUAGGAAUCUGCCUGGUAGUGGGGGAUAACGUCCGGAAACGGGCGCUAAUACCGCAUACGUCCUGAGGGAGAAAGUGGGGGAUCUUCGGACCUCACGCUAUCAGAUGAGCCUAGGUCGGAUUAGCUAGUUGGUGGGGUAAAGGCCUACCAAGGCGACGAUCCGUAACUGGUCUGAGAGGAUGAUCAGUCACACUGGAACUGAGACACGGUCCAGUCUCCUACGGGAGGCAGCAGUGGGGAAUAUUGGACAAUGGGCGAAAGCCUGAUCCAGCCAUGCCGCGUGUGUGAAGAAGGUCUUCGGAUUGUAAAGCACUUUUAGUUGGGAGGAAGGGCAGUAAGUUAAUACCUUGCUGUUUUGACGUUACCAACAGAAUAAGCACCGGCUAACUUCGUG